GCUGGGCACGGUGGCAUGUGCCUGUAGUCCCAACUACUCAGGAGGCUGAGGCAGGAGGAUUGCUUGAGCCCAAGAGUUCUGGGCUGUAGUGCGCUAUGCCGAUCGGGUGUCCGCACUAAGUUUGACAUCAAUAAGGUGAUCUCCCAGGAACGGGGGACCACCAGGUUGCCUAAGUCGGGGUGAACUGGCCCAGGUUGGAAAUGGAGCAGGUCAAAAGUCCCAUGCUGAUCAGUAGUAGGAUCGUGCCCACAGUCACAGCACUCCUGGCCUGGGCAACAUAGUGAUAUCCCGUCUCUA
rnacentral:SRP_RNA from 1 species